rnacentral:rRNA from 1 species
GUGGUGAAGAUAAUGACGGUAGCCACAAAAGAAGCACCGGCUAACUACGUGCCAGCAGCCGCGGUAAUACGUAGGGUGCAAGCGUUGUCCGGAUUUAUUGGGCGUAAAGCGUCCGUAGGCGGUUUGGUAAGUCUAAUGUUAAAUACCGGAGCUCAACUCCGGACAAGCAUUGGAUACUGCCAGGCUAGAGUUUGGUAGAGGUAAGGGGAAUUCCUGGUGUAGCGGUGAAAUGCGUAGAUAUCAG